rnacentral:rRNA from 1 species
GACGAACGCUGGCGGCGUGCCUAAUACAUGCAAGUCGAACGCAGUGGGGACGGGUGAGUAACACGUGGGUAACCUCCCAUCAGAGGGGAUAAAACUUGGAAACAGGUGCUAAACCGCUACUGGUGGAUGGACCCGCGGGGCAUUAGCUAGUUGGUGGGGUAACGGCUCACCAAGGCCACGAUGCAUAGCCGACAUGAGAGGGUGACCGGCCACACUGGGACUGAGACACGGCCCAGACUCCUACGGGAGGCAGCAGUAGGGAAUAUUGGGCAAUGGACGAAAGUCGGACCGAGCAACGCCGCGUGAGUGAAGAAGGUGUUCGGAUCGUAAAACUCUGUUGUUAGGGAAGCGGUAGCUAACCAGAAAGCCACGGCUAACUACGUGCCAGCCGCCGCGGUAAUUC